rnacentral:rRNA from 1 species
GAUGAACGCUGGCGGCGUGCCUAAUACAUGCAAGUCGAGCGAACGGACGAGAAGCUUGCUUCUCUGAUGUUAGCGGCGGACGGGUGAGUAACACGUGGAUAACCUACCUAUAAGACUGGGAUAACUUCGGGAAACCGUAGCUAAUACCGGAUAAUAUUUUGAACCGCAUGGUUCAAAAGUGAAAGACGGUCUUGCUGUCACUUAUAGAUGGAUCCGCGCUGCAUUAGCUAGUUGGUAAGGUAACGGCUUACCAAGGCAACGAUGCAUAGCCGACCUGAGAGGGUGAUCGGAGAAACGGUAAGGGAGACAAGGGAAAGAGUGAGAAGGGAGGAAGAAGGAGGGAAUCGUAAGAAAGGGGAGAAAGCAGGAAGGAGAAAAGAAGAGGGAGGGAGGAAGGUAUUAGGAGAGGAAAACGAGGGGAGGAGGGAAGAAAAAAUGGGGAAGCAAGGAUGAACGCGUGGAAGGGACCUAAUAAGAAAGAAAAGGAGAAGUACGGG